UUUUAAAAUAAUAAUAAUAUUAAAAAAUAAUAUUUUAAAUUUUCACUAUGGUGCUACAUGUGUAAAAAGAGUGGGGAAUCGGUAGAUCACUUGCUCUUACAUUGUGAGGUGGCUGGGGAGCUUUGGGCUGGUAUUCUUAGUAGAGUUGGGCUAAGUUGGGCUAUGC